CCUACGGGUGGCUGCAGUGAGGAAUAUUGGUCAAUGGACGAGAGUCUGAACCAGCCACGUAGCGUGAAGGAUGACUGCCCUCUGGGUUGUAAACUUCUUUUAUAUGGGAAUAAAACAGGGUAUGCAUACCCUCUUGUAUGUACCCUAUGUAUAAGGAUCGGCUCACUCCGUGCAAGCCGCCGCGGUAAGACGUAGGAUCCGAGCGUUAUCCGGAUGUAUUGGGUGUAAAGGGAGCGUAGGUGGAUUGUUAAGUCAGUUGUGAAAGUUUGCGGAUCAACCGUAAAAGUGCAGUUGAAACUGGCAGUCAUGAGUACAGUAGAGGUGGGCGGAAUUCGGGGUGUAGCGGUGAAAUGCUUAGAUAUCAGGAAGAACUCCGAUUGCGAAGGCAGCUCACUGGACUGCAACUGACACUGAUGCUCGAAAGUGUGGGUAGCAAACAGGAUUAGAUACCCUGGUAGUC
rnacentral:rRNA from 1 species